GAGGGUAUAGCUUAGUGGUUGAGUUUGUGUUUAGCAUGCAUGAGGUCCUGGGUUCAAUCCCUAGUACCUCCA
rnacentral:tRNA from 1 species